rnacentral:lncRNA from 1 species
AUAGUACGAUCUCCAUGGAUUACCUGCUUAAUCUCUAAGGAACUCUAAUUUAAUAAUUAUGUUGUAUCUUUCAGGUUAAAUAGUAUGGCUUUAGAAGCAGAUUUAAAACUUGAAGUUUGAUCCUCAAGUUCCUUUCCAGGAUAUCGGUAAGGUUUUGGUUCUGCCUUAUAUCUGCUCUAGUGCCAAAUAUGCAGAAUGUUUUGCUCUCUUAUCUAUCUGAAAAAAACUUGAUUGGCUGAUUUGUUUAGCAGUGGUCCCAUUCACUGUAAAGAGGAAAGAUUCCAUCAUCAGUAUAUUCCUUUGACCUGGUAUUCACAGUCCCCUAUCAGCUUUAUGCGUUACUGACCUCCACAGGCAUUUUAGGGGAAGGCACAGCAGGAAAAGAGACGAAGAUUGCUCAAGUGAAUGCCCUUAUAAACAUGCUGUUAGGGGAGCUCACCCCUGGUGAUCAUCAGAACAUCAUGACAAUAUGCACAAUUGAUGUAUAUGCAAGGGACGCUGUAGCCACACUUAUAGCACAGAAGGUAAUUUGUUGCAGAGCAAUUACACUAAUGCAUUUUUAAAAGCAUAAAAUAAAGAAUAAUUUCAAUUGUUGAAAAGAUAUUCU